GGGCCAUUUGCUAAACCUGCAGCACACACUGCUUUCUAUGUGAAAGAACCAUUCUGUGAGAAAAACUCUACUGCUCAUUUGAUCUAUGACCUCUGAAAAACAGUUCAUGAUUUCCAUUACUAUUCAAUUAUAAAAAAAAAAGUACAUUCCCUGGGUUAUACAGCACUGAUAUGCAAAGCUUAAUUGUAUAUCUGUAACUCUAGAACUGCAGUAUUUAUAGUUUUCUUAGUUUAAUAUUUCAAUUUCAUAUUCUUCUUCUAAGUAUAAAAUCCCUUUUGUUAUAUUUGUCUCAUUAAUUUAACUGAAAUACACUGAAAAUUGCUCACAAAUUAAGGUUUAUGUGUCAAUACAAAUGCAGGUUUUAUUGCUGGGAGCUUCCCGUGAUGCACUGACUAUUUCUUCUUCCAUGACACUAAUGUUUUGUCUUUGCUUCAUCAUUUAUGUACUGUACUGUAUCCCCAGUUUUCCAGCGAGGGCUGCGUACAUUUUGAUUGCAUUAACGUUUUUAUCCAGCCUUUAUGUGCAAUAAACAGAAGCUGCAAAAUUCAAAUGUAGUUACUGACAGGCCAAAGUGCAACAGGGAAGAGAUUAAAUGGGAUCAAAGGGAGUGGCAUUAUAAAUUCCUUCCUUCCUGAGAUUCAAAUCCUCCAAUCAAAACGGUGCCAGCAAUGCAAAGACAGAUUUCUUUAAAAGAUUGGACACAAUAACAAAGUCAGUCGUUUAUUUAUUAAAGCACUGUUAAUAAUUUUAGUUGCUGCUAUUUCAAAUAAAUGUUUGGUACAACAAAUUUCUCCGUGUUCUGUCUCAGGCUUUAUUCGGGCCCUGGUACUAGAGCUAUGGUCUGUUCUUGAGUGCAGCAGUGACGACAUCAGAGUGGUCCGUCCCAAACCAACUCCCAUUGACCCCACAGAUAGGAGUUGCAUUAAGUCCUUCCUGUACUUGGUCAACCUCCUCUCCUCUUCCCAGUCGGUGUGGCAACUGCUGGGCCGACAGUCUUUGGCCAACAAAAGCGAAUACACCCUGAGGGAGAUGCCAACCUCCAUACCUGAUUUGAUUGACAGACUGAUUGCCGUGAAUUCGGAUGGGAAGAUUCAUUCUCUCUUCCACUACGAAGAGAGUCACACAUUCGGCCUAAGGUGGGAUUCAUUAUUUUUUUCAUAUUACUUAACAUCAGUGGGGAAGUAGACGAUAUCAGAUUAUCACCUGGUGACUGCACACACACUUCAGCCUCUGGCAAUAGGAGACUGGCAUGGUGACGUAAUCGGCCUUAAAAUGCGGCCUUUAAGGCUGCAGACCCUGAAUUGGGAUACAGCCUCUGAAUCGCUGCAUCUUGUAGCUGUGUCGUCUUAAAUUGGUCAUGUGAUUUUGACGCGCCGGCGCGUCCGGCAACCCCAGAGGUUUAACUUAAUAUUUAAGUGUCUCUUGGUUUUAGACUAGUUGUUUAGUCUAAUUUGAUGUUUUAAACCAGAAAAGGAAGAAGAGGGCUUAGAAUUACAGGUAAGAACUGCUCAGUGGUAUGUGAUAAACUGUAAAUGUAAAGCUUACAGGUCAGUCCUCAUGUUUUUAAAUCAGAUUUUGAGUCUGUACAUGGCACAUUAUGCUUUUGCAUGUUGUGAAAUGUGCUGCAAAACAAACUGAGGUAAACUAACUGGUUUACUGUGAUGGAUUUAAAGUGCGUGUGACUGGUGCGCAGUGGCUGUGGUGCUCACGGUCAGAGUUCAGUCACAAAGAGGGUAACAGAGAUGAAUUUAAAGUUAAGGUGAUGGUGCUUAGAUUCAUUCACAGACUGAAACCUUCACACCAACUUUAUCCUGUGUCUCUUAGUUUUAGACUAGUUGUUUAGUCUAUUUUGAUGUUUUAAACCAUAUCACAGGGUUUUUACUUCACCAUUUACGGGGUUUUAACAAGCAAACAAAAGACAGAUCGUGAUGUUUGAAAAUGUUUUGGAAAUAUUCUUUAAAGAUUAGAUGUAAAAUACGCAGAGGAUAAAUUCAAUUGGUUUAUUAGUUUAUUACAUAAGUUGAAAAAAAGUUAAACAAGUAAAUAAAGAAACAACGUAAAAGAAAAGUAAACAAAACAAAUCGGUAAAUAAAGGA